UCCUAUAGGCAGUCGAAGAGACUCAGAUUCAAGUUGUUUCUGCCUAACUUCUUCUAAUACUACUAUUCUCUCAUCCAUGGCUUUCAUAAAAUUUUUUAUGUUAUCAAACUUUUCAGUCAGAGUAUUAAUGAUGGCUGCUGUAUUGGGAUCCAUAUUGGUGUUGGGUGGGGAAGCAAAAUUCAGGUACUUGAGCUAGUGGUCAUGCAAAUCUAGGAUGCAAGAAUAAGGUG
rnacentral:lncRNA from 1 species